UACGUAGGCAGCAAGCGUUGUUCGGAGUUACUGGGCGUAAAGGGUGCGUAGGCGGCCCUGUAAGUAUGGUGUGAAAUCUCCCGGCUUAACUGGGAGGGGGCCUCGAAAACUGCCAGGCUUGAGGCAUGGAGAGGGAUGCGGAAUUCCCGGUGUAGUGGUGAAAUGCGUAGAUAUCGGGAGGAACACCAGUGGCGAAGGCGGCAUCCUGGCCAUGUCCUGACGCUCAGGGGCGAAAGCGUGGGGAGCAAACCGG
rnacentral:rRNA from 1 species